ensembl:rRNA 5S_rRNA 5S ribosomal RNA
GUCUAUGGCCAUACAACCCUGAAUGUGCCCCAUCUCCUCUGAUCUCAGAAGCUAAGUAGGUUUGGACCUGGUUAGUACUUAGAUGGGAGGAUGGUGGAGGGGGAUUUAAACU